ensembl:lncRNA
GCGGGCUGGUUCAGAGGCAGAGUAGUCAGGCGGACUGGUUCAGGGUCAGAGGCAGAGUAGUCAGGCAGGCUGGUUCAGGGUCAGAGGCAGAGUAGUCAGGUGGGCUGGUUCAGAGGCAGAGUAGUCAGGCGGGCUGGUUCAGGGUCAGAGGCAGAGUAGUCAGGCGGGCUGGUUCAGGGUCAGGGGCAGAGUAGUCAGGCGGGCUGGUUCAGAGGCAGAGUAGUCAGGCGGACUGGUUCAGGGUCAGAGGCAGAGUAGUCAGGCAGGCUGGUUCAGGGUCAGAGGCAGAGUAGUCAGGCGGGCUGGGUCAGAGGCAGAGUAGUCAGGCGGGCUGGUUCAGAGGCAGAGUAGUCAGGCGGGCUGGUUCAGGGUCAGAGGCAGAGUAGUCAGGCGGGCUGGUUCAGAGGCAGAGUAGUCAGGCGGGCUGGUUCAGAGGCAGAGUAGUCAGGCGGGCUGGUUCAGAGGCAGAGUAGUCAGGCGGGCUGGUUCAGAGGCAGAGUAGUCAGGCGGGCUGGUUCAGAGGCAGAGUAGUCAGGCGGGCUGGUUCAGGGUCAGAGGCAGAGUAGUCAGGCGGGCUGGUUCAGGGUCAGAGGCAGAGUAGUCAGGCGGGCUGGUUCAGGGUCAGAGGCAGAGUAGUCAGGCGGGCUGGUUCAGAGGCAGAGUAGUCAGGCUGGCUGGUUCAGAGGCAGAGUAGUCAGGCGGGCUGGUUCAGAGGCAGAGUAGUCAGGCGGGCUGGUUCAGAGGCAGAGUAGUCAGGCGGGCUGGUU